GCCGUGCCACGACUAUAUCUGGAUAAUCUCCCUUAAAGUUUUUGUUUCUGUGUUAGCGGUAGGUAGGUGGUCAUGGUCAGGUCAAACUUCUUCAUGUAUUGGGCAUUUAUUUGUGUCGGGCUUGGAAAAUAUGGUGUCGUAAGCAAAGACCAAUGUCUUUUCAAACUUCGACGCGGGGAGGUUCGCAUCAGCAUCCUUACAGAUGAAAUAGCUCGUCAGAGCUCUUCUGGAGCUAGCGAGUAUGCAUGUAAAGUGACAACGUCCGGGACAUCAUCAGGGUUCAACACCUAUAUCCUUAUUGCUUUUCUUCGGUUAAAUAAAACAUGCCCUGCUGGAAAGACAGUGAGCUUCUCUUUUACUUCACCCAGGUUUACGGAAAAUUUUCACAGUUUCCCUUCCGAUCCAUCAGACUGUGCCGUUGUCAUGUCUCAGCCCAGUAAUCUUGCCUGCACACCGUAUCCCCUGGCUGACUGUGUGAGCAUUUGGGAAUUUAAGACGCUCGUCGGUGAAAUCCAGAGUGGAGAAGUUUUGUCUGUGGAAGUUCCAGUCAAUGGACAAAAUACACAAAAUAUAACUUUUAACAAUACCGAUUGUGACUGCCCUAAAAUAAAUCAUAUUUUGGGACUGCCAGGGAUUACACAAAUCCAUAAUCUAUACAAAACAUGCAUCUUGGGAAAGAAGAGUUACUUGAAACGUUGUAAGAGUCUGCAGUUAGUGGAGGGGGCCAUGCGCACCAUCACCAACAGUGACACAUUAAGCCUUAACCUGGGCUUGAUCAGUGCCACUGUCACAUCUGGUGACAGCCUGGAGAAGAACUUCUUCAUAUCUUUACCUUCAGGGAACAAAAUGGUUUCCUUGCAGUCAACGUCCCUGGAUGAUGAUGUCACAAUGGAGGUCCCCCAAGGAGCCCUGGAUCAGAUAAGGAACCGCUCCGGUGGUCCGCUCAACAUGGGCACAUUCUGGUUCCAGGAGAACUCGAUGUUUCCAGUGGAGCAGGAAAAUAUAUCUCUGCUGAGGAGUCGUGUGGUGGCCCUGGAUCUAGGACAGGACGUCAGCGGCCUGGAGAACCCUGUCAACCUCACGUUCUCCCUGCAGAACACAACACUGAACACAACGCUACAGUGUGUCUUCUGGGAUGUGAAAGAUGCUGCGACUGCAAACUGGAACUCAUCUGGUUGUACAACUGAUGUGGUUGCUGAAGGAAAAGUGAUCUGCUCCUGCAAUCACCUGUCCUUCUUUGCUGUUCUGCUGACUCCUGUAGGUGUGGUAAAACCUCUCAGUGCUGCAUCUAUUUACAACCUGACUGUGCUGUCGCGGGUUGGCUGCAGUGUGUCUCUGGCCUUCCUUGUCCUAAUGCUGCUCUCACAUGCUUUCUACCAGAGAGGGCCGACUGAUAACUCCCUGUGGAUCCAUCUCCAUGUCUGCGUGUCCCUCCUCCUCCUCAACCUGACCUUCCUCAUCAACGACUUCCUGACGGCCCUGCACAUCCCGGCUGUCUGCAUUGCCAUGGCAGCGCUCACACACUACGCCCAACUGAGCAUGCUCACCUGGUUCGCCAUCGAGGGCCUGCACCUCUACCUGCUGUUCAUCCGCGUCUUCAACAUCCACGUCAGGAGAUACCUGCUCAAACUCAGCCUGCUGGGGUGGGGCUUGCCUGCUGUCCCUGUUGCUGUAGUUGUCGGCCUGAAUUUGUACGGAGAAUCCAAGAUAGAGAAUGUGGAAGGGGGGUCCACAUCUAUGUGUUUUAUGAAAAAGGAGAAUCUGAUUCCGCAGAUACUGACCUACUGCUACUUCUUGCUGGUGCUGAUUUUUAACGUGACCAUGUUCAGCGUAGUCCUGAACCAACUGCUCAAGGCCCGGCUCCACAGUCCUAUGCCCCAGGACAAGGGCCUGAAUCGGGGGAUGGUCCUCAGCCUCCUGGCCCUCUCAUGGAUGCUUGGCAUCUCCUGGGGGAUAAUGACCUUCGGUGGCAUAGCCCCCCUGCAGGAGAUCAGUUUUUACAUAUUCUGCUCCCUCAAUGGCCUGCAUGGUCUCUUCCUGUUUCUGAGGUACUGCAGCCUGCUGAGGAAAGAGAAACUGGCAUCCAGCAGCACCAACUCCGCAUUAGCCACCGCCCCUAACUCAAGCAAAUCUUAACCUUAACUUACAGCAUUAACACACACACACACACACACACACACACACACACACACACACACACACACACACUACUGUUAGGAUAGGUUAGGGUCACAUGGUAGAGCAAGCACUGACUCACAGGCAGGGCUUCAGUGAUGUCACUGCCUGUGGCUAACUGGGUUCACUGGGACACCUGUCAUUAUGCCGACUUCAUGCCUCAUCGGAUAUUUGGAAAUUCUCAUCUCUGAUAAAGGAGGAAAAAUGACUUGAACACCAAAUCGGGUCGGAUUUUAUGCUUGGAGACUUGUGCAGAAAUGUUGUGCCCCGAGGCACGUCACUAUCAUAUUCUCCAACCACGGCUGCCUCCCUUGCAACAACACGUGGCAAAUCUCACUCUCAUUGCAAACAGGCAAAUAAUAUCACUACAUUGACACUACAGAUAGAACCUCCUCACCUGAGACAUUUUCGGAGUUGUUCAACCAUAGUUGAAGGAUUUUUAAAGUGGGGUCCAAGUUUACGGCCGACAUGAAGGCAGUUAGUUAGUCCUUGACUUUCAAUUAGUUUGCAGGCCUUUUUGAGCAGACAAACUUGAACUAUUUUGGAUUAUCACCCCCUCAAAAUUGAGACACAGAUGAUGGGCUAGGCCCGAAACGUUCGUCCUUGUUUGUCAGAGCCUGUAAUACUUUUGCGGCUUUUUUGAAUACAGUUUUUGUAUAUCUUAGUCCCUGAGUGUGUCUCUACUUUUUUCACUACCUUACUGCACUUUUCUUGGAGUUACGCACCGGGCUCAACCAAGAUUAUUAGACAAAAGGUGUAGAUGCCAUCUCAACCUACGCGGAUUAUCACCACCACCACAAAAACGGAACACAACAAAGAAACAACGCUUGGGCUAUCGGAAACACAUCAGAAGGGGAGUUUACCACAGGUCUCUUCCUGUUUCUGAGGUAGGCCUACUGCAGCCUGCUGAGGAAAGAGAAACUGGGAUCCAGCAGCACCAACUCUGCAGCAGCCACUGCUCCCACUCAAGCUAAUCCAGUUAACCUUAACAUUAGGCUAUCACACACAUUCCACAUUUACUCUGCAAUAGGUCUAUCUAGGCUGCGAUUUAUUUCCAUUAUAGUUGUGUCUGCAGCCAUUUCGGUGCGUUGAAUAUGACUCAGUUUUUUACUUUUUCCAUUUCUACUGUAUGUUUUAAUUAAUUGUAACACAAGACAAAAAACAAGAUUGUGUUCCAUAAUGUGGUCUUCAGCAAUUUUGGAGUAGAUAAAUGGACCAAAAAUAAAACAAUUAAAAUAUGAAGU